CCGGCUUCCUUUCCGCUGCCCGCCUUUCUCCUCUCUGCACCGCCCAGACCCGUGCGUGGCACCCCUUCCUGCCUGGCAGUGCAAAGGAGCGGCUGCCCGACCUCCGCUUGGUGAUUGCAGCAGCAGAUCCUGGUGCCCGUGUGGGUUCCUCAUGCCUCGGUAUCUCUGCUGGAAUUCAUCUGGGAGAAGCCACAGGAAGAGAACUCCGUUCUCAUGAGCAGGUGGGGUUGGGCCAUGUCACCGGCCGUCCAUGUCAUGGUUGGUCCACAGGGUCCCUGGACACAGACACUGGAGAGCUCCCCCG
rnacentral:lncRNA from 1 species